GCACCCUUAACCACUCAAACUUCUGUCCAAGCUAUUUUACAACAAUUCUCUACCAUAACCCAAGGUACUAAAAAUAAUCUUAGCUCACUUCUGGACACGCAAUGGUUGCGUCAAAAUGCGAAUUACGCUAGGUAAAACUAAAGAAGAAUAAAAGGGAGUACGAAUGGGUUUCAAGUUUUGUUGAUCGGAUAUUACUGUACAUAGAAGCAUGCUUAGCAAGGGACAAACAACUUUUGGAAUACUAGUGCCUGUACAUUAAAACUUAGUGUAUAAUCAAAUGUUG
rnacentral:lncRNA from 1 species